rnacentral:lncRNA from 1 species
GCAUGACCUCCAGACAUUGCUCUGGCAGCCUUCCCCCAAUUUGCUCUCAAGCGUGUUCAGAUCAGUACUCAGCCAAACUCAGAAGGAAUCCUCCUCAAAUCUCCAGAGUUUAUUCUCUGUGCAGUUUCAUCUAUUUUGGUACAUUGCCUUAGAAAUGUCACCAUCUUGAUCUCCUCACACUUUGAUAUUGAUUUUCUAAUUUUGUUAGGAGUGUCAAGUUUUCAGGGCAUCCCUUCGCUGGAAACACUAUGGCCUACAAAAUGGCUCUAACCGAUAAGAAAGAGUCCUAAAGCUUUUAUCUAUUUUCCUUCUCCCAGUAAUCAAUCCUAUGUGCCCUGUUGUCAAAUGUCUGAAAAUCACUUUUUCAUCUAUUUUGUCAAAUCUUGUAGUUGUUUAUAAUUGAAGAGAAAAUCCUGCUGGUUUGUCAAAGAAAUUCCAACAUCUUCUGUGAAUGUAUUUGAAGCAGCAUUUAUCCCACCAUUCUGCUGAAACUCUACAUCAAGGCCACCAGGAGCUCCAGACUGGUAAUCCAAUGCUAUCUGUAUUUAAGAUUCACGAAAGAUUGACUUUGCUCCAGAAUGCAUACACUACCAUCAAUGACAAAGAAGCUGCAGAAUUUUGAACCACUCCACAGCCGCCUCCUGCCUCUGG